rnacentral:rRNA from 1 species
GACGAACCGUGCGAACGUUAUUCGGAAUCACUGGGCUUAAAGCGCGUGUAGGCGGGACGGCACGUCCGUCGCUGAAAUCCCCCGGCUCAACCGGGGAACUGGCGGGGAUACGACCGUCCUGGAGGGACGUAGGGGGACCUGGAACUUCCGGUGGAGCGGUGAAAUGUGUUGAGAUCGGAAGGAACGCCCGUGGCGAAAGCGAGGUCCUGGACGUUUUCUGACGCUGAGACGCGAAAGCCAGGGGAGCGAACGGG